GCGUCAGUAGCACACAUACUAACUAACACUGGAGUGAGACAGAAAAGAUUAACGUGGCCCCUGUGCAAAGAUGACAUGCAAAUCCGUGAACCGUUCCGUGUUUAA